AUUGAACGCUGGCGGCAUGCCUUACACAUGCAAGUCGAACGGCAGCACGGGGCAACCUGGUGGCGAGUGGCGAACGGGUGAGUAAUGCAUCGGAACGUACCUUUCAGUGGGGGAUAACGUAGCGAAAGUUACGCUAAUACCGCAUAUUCUGUGAGCAGGAAAGCAGGGGAUCGCAAGACCUUGCGCUGAUUGAGCGGCCGAUGUCAGAUUAGCUAGUUGGUGAGGUAUAGGCUCACCAAGGCGACGAUCUGUAGCGGGUCUGAGAGGAUGAUCCGCCACACUGGAACUGAGACACGGUCCAGACUCCUACGGGAGGCAGCAGUGGGGAAUUUUGGACAAUGGGGGCAACCCUGAUCCAGCCAUGCCGCGUGAGUGAAGAAGGCCUUCAGGUUGUAAAGCUCUUUCGGCCGGGAAGAAAUCGCACGGGCCAAUACCCUGUGUGGAUGACGGUACCGGAAUAAGAAGCACCGGCUAACUACGUGCCAGCAGCCGCAGUAAAAC
rnacentral:rRNA from 1 species